GCUGUAUCAUGGAAUAAUAUAAUUUGUAUUAUAUCACAAUGUAAAUUAUUGUUAUUAUUAUUAGUAUUAUUAAUAGCAUUAUUAUAUAUUUAUGUACAUUCAUAUUCAAUAUAUAUUAUAUUGUUUGAUUAUGUACAGCUAAAACUACAAAUCCAUGAAGACAAACUUUAGGUUGGCUUGAGAAAAUCAAGCCUGAAAGUUUAAAGCAGUUGUAAAAGAUUGAAGUUGGAAAAUUUAGAUAGAUAGAAUAGAUAUAUUGAUGCUAGCAUGUUUCUAGCAUGAUUAGCAUUUUGCUACCAUCUUGUUAGCAUGGUUCUAGCAUGAUUAGCUUGUUUAAUUUAUUUGCAAUUCUGUUUUUUUUUUUUCGUUGCAUUAUGAAACUGUGCAAUUAAAUGUGUAACGUCUUUUAAAUGUAACCACUCUUUAUUCAAACGCAACAAUUAUUUACAGAAUUUUAAAACAAAACAAAAAAUAGAAAGAAAAAUUCCUAUGAAUUCUGUUUGGUCAGACAAUACAAUUUGAAUCAUUCCACAUUGUGAGAUUUGCUCUUUUAUGAAUCAGAGGCAACAAUUUGACAUCAAACAAAACUGCGAUCAAUGACACAGUAAUGAAACCAAACGACAUUUUUUAAAGUAACGAAAUGAAAUGCCUCUACCAAAAGGCUGUCGAAUUACACAUGCAUACACGCACACAUCCCGUUCCACUCAAACGAUGUGAAAUUACAUUCAAAACAUGUAUUAUUAACAGUCCUAUGUGCUAGUUUAGAACUGUAGUCGAAGCAGUAGGAAGAUGAGAUAUUAUGAAAAAGGACUUAAUGUGCGUCAGGAACUCAGAGUGAGUGUAGAAAUGAUAUUUGUGCUGACUUUCUGUACUGUGAAUGUGUUUGUGAAGUUCAUCCGGUUCUCAAGAUGUGGGUAGUUACAACGUCCUGCUCCCAUGUAAAGCAGUUCACAGUAGCUUCACGCAAGUUCACUGCCGGCUGCAGGGGCGUGUUCAGAUGACUUCAGGAGGGUGCUUAAAACUGCAUAUGAAAAACCAAAUAAACAUCCAUGUCAAAAAUACAGUAAGACGUUUACAUCAGUAUCAUGUGACUGUAGUUUAUGACUGUGCUUCUGGUUUCCCUUCAGGACACGGCUGGACAUCACAUGUCGACCAGCACAGUACUGGAAUUGUUUAUUCGUUGUAUAAAAAUAAACAAGAUGUCUUUAUAAUCAAGCACUGAAUUCUGUUAAUAUUAUCACGAACUGAACAGGCCUUGUUUUUUAGGUGAGAGAUCAGACAUGGUUGGGGUUCUGGUUGGUUGCUAGGGUGUUGUUGGAGGUUCUGAGUGGUUAAUAGGGUGUUGCUAGGUAAUCGUUACAGGGUUUUGGGUGAUUACUAAAUAGUUCUCAAGGAGUUCUGGUUGGUUGCUAGGGUGUUGUUGGUGGUUAUUAGGGUGUUGCUAGGUAGUCAUUAGAGGUUUCUGAGUGGUCUUUACGUAGUUGUUAGAGGUUGUGUUUCUAGGUGGCUGCUAGGUAGUCAUUACGGGGUUUUGGGUGAUUACUAAAUAGUUGUCAAGGGGUUCUGGUUGGUUGCUAGAGUGUUGUUGGAGGUUCUGAGUGGUUACUAGGGUGUUGCUAGGUAGUCAUUAGAAGUUUCUGAGUGGUCUUUACGUAGUUGUUAGAGGGUGUGUUUCUAGGUGGCUGCUAGGUAGUCAUUACAGGGUUUUGGGUGAGUACUAAAUAGUUGUCAAGGGGUUCUGGGUGGUUGCUAGGUAGUUGUUGGAGGUUCUGAGUGGUUACUAGGGUGUUGCUAGGUAGUCAUUAGAGGUUUCUGAGUGGUCUUUACAAAGUUGUUAGAGGAUGUGUUACUAGGUGGCUGCUAGGAAGUCAUUACAGGGUUUUGGAUGAUUACUAAAUAGUUGUCAAGGGGUUCUGGUUGGUUGCUAGGGUGUUGCUAGGUAGUUGCUAAUGGGUUAUUUUGUGUUUGCUAGAUAGAUUAGGGGGUUCUGAGUGGUCACUAUGGUGUUGCUAGGUAAUCAUUAAGGGGUUCUGGGUGGUCACUAGGUAGUUGUUGGAGUUUUUGAGUGGUUACUAGGGUGUUGCUAGGUAAUUGCUAAGGGGUUCUGGGUGGUUGCUGGGUAGUUAGAGGUGACAUCAGCAGCAAAAGAUAUGGACAGUGUUUCCCUUCUAAGAAUGCAUACAACAGAAUGUAAUUUCUCCCUUUUAAGAAUUUGUAAGUCUAUUUUGUUGUCCAAAUUCUGCAGAAAUAGUUGUAUUUCAUUAUUUGCUUUCAUCACAGUUUCUCCUUGCUGAGCAGAUCUGAGACCCACCAGUUGAGAAGCACCUGUUUAUGGCCAUACAAAGUCCAUCAAGUGCCAUACAAAUACAUAAAUAUCAAUGAAAACCAUGAUUUCAAGGUGAAAACGAGCAGUGAAUGGCUCACCCUCAGGGUUCUGUGUGCCGUUCUCUUCUUUGGCACUCUCUGGAUCACCUGAAGACAAAGCAUAUGUUCUCAUUCAACAGUUACCAUACUAGCUGCUUUAUCUAUGACUUUUACUUGGUUAUAUUUGGUGACUUUAUCUGUUUGUUUAUUUUUUUUCUGACACACUGGUGUUAUAUCUUUCACUUGGAUCUUAUAAGUUGCAUUGAGAAAAUAUUGCUGGAUAUAAAAAAAAAACUGUGUCCGUCUUCGUUUCAGGCUGCAAAGCAACAAAAUGUGAUUAUUUUUAAGGGGGCUGAUUCUUUUCUAUACCCACUGUACAUGCAUAAAUGGUCAAAUAUACACAAAAAUCUCAAAAUGUGCGUCUGGGCAAGUACAAACCCGAUUCCAAAAAAGUUGGGACACUGUACAAAUUGUGAAUAAAAACAGAAUGCAAUGAUGUGGAAGUUUCAAAUUUCAAUAUUUUAUUCAGAAUACAACAUAGAUGACAUAUCAAAUGUUUAAACUGAGAAAAUGUAUCAUUUUAAGGGAAAAAUAAGUUGAUUUUAAAUUUCAUGGCAUCAGCACAUCUCAAAAAAGUUGGGACAAGGCCAUGUUUACCACUGUGUGGCAUCCCCUCUUCUUUUUAUAACAGUCUGCAAACGUCUGGGGACAGAGGAGACAAGUCUCUCAAGUUUAGGAAUAGGAAUGUUGUCCCAUUCUUGUCUAAUACAGGCUUCUAGUUGCUCAACUGUCUUAGGUCUUCUUUGUGGCAUCUUCCUCUUUAUGAUGCACCAAAUGUUUUCUAUGGGUGAAAGAUCUGGACUGCAGGCUGGCCAUUUCAGUACCCGGAUCCUUCUUCUACACAGCCAUGAUGCUGUAAUUGAUGCACUAUGUGGUCUGGCAUUGUCAUGUUGGAAAAUGCAAGGUCUUCCCUGAAAGAGAUGACGUCUGGAUGGGAGCAUAUGUUGUUCUAGAACUUGGAUAUACCUUUCAGCAUUGAUGGUGCCUUUCCAGAUGUGUAAGCUGCCCAUGCCACACGCACUCAUGCAACCCCAUACCAUCAGAGAUGCAGGCUUCUGAACUGAGCGCUGAUAACAACUUGGGUUGUCCUUGUCCUCUUUAGUCCGGAUGACAUGACGUCCCAGUUUUCCAAAAAGAACUUCAAAUUUUGAUUCGUCUGACCACAGAACAGUUUUUCACUUUGCCACAAUCCAUUUUAAAUGAGCCUUGGCCCAGAGAAAACGCCUGCGCUUCUGGAUCAUGUUUAGAUAUGGCUUAUUUUUUGACCUAUAGAGUUUUAGCCGGCAACGGCGAAUGGCACGGUGGAUUGUGUUCACCGACAAUGUUUUCUGGAAGUAUUCCUGAGCCCAUGUUGUGAUUUCCAUUACAGUAGCAUUCCUGCUAUUUGAUUCUCUGAAUCUUUGGAUGAUAUUAUGCACUGUAGAUGAUGAUAACUUCAAACUCUUUGCAAUUUUUCUCUGAGAAACUCCUUUCUGAUAUUGCUCCACUAUUUUUCGCCGCAGCAUUGGGGGAAUUGGUGAUCCUCUGCCCAUCUUGACUUCUGAGAGACACUGCCACUCUGAGAGGCUCUUUUUAUACCCAAUCAUGUUGCCAAUUGACCUAAUAAGUUGCAAGUUGGUCCUCCAGCUGUUUCUUAUAUGUACAUUUAACUUUUCCGGCCUCUUCUUGCUACCUGUCCCAACUUUUUUGGAAUGUGUAGCUCUCAUGAAAUCCAAAAUGAGCCAAUAUUUGGCAUGACAUUUCAAAAUGUCUCACUUCCAACAUUUGAUAUGUUAUCUGUAUUCUAUUGUGAAUAAAAUAUAAGUUUAUGAGAUUUUUAAAUUAUUCCAUUCCUUUUUUACUCACAAUUUGUACAGUGUCCCAACUUUUUUGGAAUCGGGUUUGUAUUUACAUAAAGGGUGUCAGUUAUGUCUUAAGUGGAUAAUUAAGUGUAAUUGAUGUUAUGAUCAUGAUAUGAUAUUUUGGAAAGAGUCCCCAUCCCUAGCCACUAGUGGCACCAAACAAAAUAACAAAGAUAAUGAUUUCAUUCAGAGUGUGUGAUGCAUGAACAUACAGUAUGACUGUUUUCAAACAGGUUUCCUUAACUAUUAGACCUGCUCCAAACUCCACAUUAUUGGUUAAGCAAAUGUUAUGUUGAGACCAAGUAGAAAAAGACAUUUGAUGGCCCAGAAACAGCACAACUCUCCUGUUGUGUUUUAGACUGUUAGUGUUUUAGAUUUCAUAUAUAUAAAUCAUGUGUCAGCACAUGUAACUAUGACUGUGUUUUACUGAUUCACAUCUGAAUGUGUUCUAGAGCAUGCAGAGCCACACACCUCUCUGGACCUUGAAGCACAGUUUCUUCUUCUGGUAGGUGAAGUAUCCGAUUAUGGCACCAACAGCUGCUACUGCAAUCCCACAAACAACACCAACAACCGUACCAGAUCCACUGUCUGCAACAGAACCACCCACACCAGGUCAACAAGUCAAAGCAGGUAUUCACAGUCGUGUCACUAUGUGGCUAUAUGGUCACUCGAGUGUUCUGGGUGGUUGCUAGGGAGUUGUUAGGGAGUUCUGAGUGGUUGCCAGGGAGUUGUUAGGGAGUUCUGUGUGGUUAUUAGGGAUAUGCUAGGGAGUUCUGGGUGGUUGCUAGGGAGAUGCUAGGGAGUUCUGGGUGGUUUCUAGGAAGUUCAUAGGUAGUUGCAAGCAGUGCGGGGUAGUAAUCUGGAUUACGUAAUCAGAUUCCAAAAAUUAAAAUUACUUGUAAUUAGAUUGCAUUAUAAAUUACUCGUAAUUAGACUACAGUUACUUUUUUGUUGAUUAUAUGAUUAAAAAAUUAUUCACAUAAUUGCAAUUAAUCUUCAUAAUUUAUGUAUUCUCCCUAUUUCUUUUUUUCUUUAUCUUUUAAAUUCAUUUUUAAAAUAGCCUACCACUUAUAUACAUUCAGAAAACACAUAUAGAUAAUUAUAUGCAUUGGGAAACCUUGACACGAUGUAACGUUUAUUGCACUUCAUGUUGUUAGAUUUCCCCCAUGUCUCUCUGAUCUUCAGGUCUGUAGAUGUGGCUCGGGUCCCCUCCUUGAAAGCAAGUCUGUGGGAUUUUUUAACCUGUUUUAUUGUCCAGCAGGUGAAAAUAUUUGGGUCACUUAUUAAUAUUUAUGCUUAGUGUUUUGAACAAACCACUAACACUGAGCACUAGUAACAGUGAUGCUUGACUUAACAAGCACCAGUGAUAACACAAUCAGACACAAAGAUCUGCUCAUUCCUCAUUCUGCUUCAUGUGUUCACUAAAGUCAACAAACACAUAUCAGUUGUUAAAAUCCCUGUUUAUUUUUUAUAAUAUCAGUGAAUAAGAAGAAACAAGAGAUUCAGAUAACGGUCCACUAGAUGGCAGUAUUAUACUGGAACCACUUCAGGUUUAUAUUGGAGCCUAUUUCUGCCACAUAAAAAAAAAAAUAAUAAUAAUAAUAAUAAUUAUAAUAAUUUGAUAAAUCAUAAUUGACAAAAUAAUCUUUAAAAUUGUUUAAAUUAAAUAAAUGAAAUACAAUUAUGAGAUAAAAGUCUAAAUUAUGGAAUACUAAGUCAUAACUGAGUUUAAGUAGUCAAUUAUGACAAAAAAGUCAAUAUUAUGACAUACUACGGAGGCGACAGGCGACAGGCAAGACUGAACCUGACUUACAGAUCCUGCAGGGGAUGAAAGAGAGCGAAAGUGCUGCCCGCAGAACAAAAGACGCUCAACAGGAGUUUAUUUACUUAGUGACACAUAAGAACCAUGAGAGGAGACAUCGCUUGGAAAAACUGACCCAUGAUUAUCCUGUCAUCAUUUACUCACUCAUGUCCCUCCAUUCACAUUUCUACAUUUAGCAGAUUUAAAGUGACUUUAAAGAGGAACAAAAGAGCCAACAAUAUUCACCAUAUAUUCUAUCUAACAUGCUUUAUGGAAGAAAGGAAAUGAUAAGGGUAAUUUAGAUUAGAUUAGAUUUAACGCAAUGACAAUAAAGUUUGAUCUAAUCUAAAUUACUCUUAUGUCCUUUCUUUCAUAAAACAUGUUAGCUGAUAUUAGUCAGAAUGUUUGUUUUAUAAUGUUAAUCUCUAAAAGCAUGUUUCAUAAUUAAGACUUUAUGUUUCAUAAUUAUGGCAUUUUAUGUCAUAAUUUUGAUUUGAGAUUUCUACUUUUUCUCAAAAUUAUGACUUUUUAAAUGUCAUAUUUUGUUUUUCUUAAUCUCAUAACUGACAUUUUGUCAUAAUUUCGAAUUUUUUUAUUAUUUCAAUCUAGAUUUUUUUUUCCUCUAAAAAAAGUCUUACUUUGAGAUUUUUUAACCUAUAUUUUAAACUUUUAUUAUGACAUGUCGCAAACCCAUAUUAUUUUCAUCAUUUAGACUUUUUUUUUUAAUGAUUAUGACAUUUUGUCAACUUUUUCAUCUCAUGAUGAUGUUUUUGUCAUAAUUUCGAUUUCUCAUAAUUACAUUUUUUACUUCUCUUAUAGUUGACAUUUUGUUAUAAUUUUGACUUUUAUCUACUAAUUUAAACCUCAUAAUUUUAAUUUUGUAAUAAUUUUGACUUUUCAACAAAAAAGUUUGUUUUAUAACAUCAAUUCUAUUCAUGAUUUAGACUUAUUAUUUAAUAAUUAUAUUUUAUGCCAUAAUUCCAAAAUGUUUACUUUUUUAUCCAUAAUUAUGACUUUUUUACAUUUUAUCUGGUAAUUUUGUCUGGUUUUGUCAUCAUUAUGAUUUUUUUUAUUUCAACGUGUCACUCCAAACCAUAUUAAUUUCUUUCUUCCAUGAAACAUGUUAGAUGAUCAUGUCAGAAUGUUUGUGCUUUAUUACGUCAAUCCAUAAAAUGGCAUGGUGGCAGUUUCACAUCACUGCUUCCUGCCUGCGUAGAAAGCAAACGUGACGUGUUUAGCAGCUGAUCACUAUUUGUUCUGAACACAUGAAGCAGAAGAAGGAAUGAGCAGAUCUUUUGUGUCUGUUAGACUGGGUGGGACGGCAGGUAUUACAGAUGAUCAACUCAUGCUGGAAAUGAUGAUCGUGUUAUUACUUUUUUUUUUUUAAGUCAAGCAUCACUGUUACUAGUGCUCAGUGCUAGGAGUUUGUUCAAAACACUAAGCAUUAGUACUUAUAAGUGACCCUAAAUAUUUUCACCUGCUGGACAAAAAAAAAAUGGGUUUAAAAAAAUCUCACAGGCUUACUUUGAAGGAGGGAACCGAGCCACAUCUACAGACCUGAAGAUAAGAGUGUUGUGAGGGGUGAAGUACCUAGAACUCCCUAACAGCUACCUAGCAACUACGCAGAACCCUCUAAUGACCCCAAGCAACACCCUAGUAACCACCCCGAACCGCUAACAACAAAAAUCCACCCAGAACCAUCUAAUGACUUCUAGCAACACCCUAGUAACCACCCAGAACCCCCUAAGAACUACAUAGCAACCACCCAGAACCCUC
ensembl:lncRNA